UACGGGGGGGGGCAAGCGUUGUUCGGAAUUACUGGGCGUAAAGGGCGCGUAGGCGGCCUGAUAAGUAGGGGGUGAAAUCCUGCGGCUUAACCGCAGGGCUGCCUUCUAAACUGUCAGGCUAGAGCACAGUAGAGGCAGGUGGAAUUCCCGGUGUAGCGGUGGAAUGCGUAGAGAUCGGGAAGAACAUCAGUGGCGAAGGCGGCCUGCUGGGCUGUUGCUGACGCUGAGGCGCGACAGCGUGGGGAGCAAACAGG
rnacentral:rRNA from 1 species